rnacentral:rRNA from 1 species
GUCCACGCGGUAAACGAUGAAUGCUAGGUGUCGGGUGACAAAGUCAUUCGGUGCCGCCGCAAACGCAUUAAGCAUUCCACCUGGGAGUACGUUCGCAAGAAUGAAACUCAAAGGAAUUGACGGGACCCGCACAAGCGGUGGAGCAUGUGGUUUAAUUCGAAGCAACGCGAAGAACCUUACCAAGUCUUGACAUCCUUUUGACCGGAACUUAACCGUUCCUUUCCUUCGGGACAGAAGAGACAGGUGGUGCAUGGUUGUCGU